CUCGAGAUGACCAGCUCUUCAUCACCAUCCUCAUCAUGAAGCUCCCCUUCGACAAGCUCUUCACCAAUACAGACCCUUCAAUCUCACACCGCAUCAGCUUCGUCAACCUUCCGGAGUCACACAUCGACACACAGGGCCUUGCCUUCACCUCCUUCAUCAAAACAUUCGUCCAAGGCCACAAAACCCACGUCAAAGACGCCGUCACAAAGUUACUCUCUGAGUCCGCUCAGGCCGAGCUUGCCGGGUUUGUCAUCGACAUGUUCUGCACCCCCAUGAUCAACGUGGCGGACGAAUUCCAGAUUCCUUCCUACGUCUUCUUCACCUCCGGCGCAGCCACUCUAGGGUUCUGGUUCCACCUCCAGUCACUUCAUGAUGAGCAGGGGAAGGACGUUGCUGAGAUAAUUGGGUGGGAAUCUGAGUCGAUCGUCCCGAGUUUCAUCAACCCCGUGCCCGCUGGAGUCUGGCCGAGAGUGACGCGAACGAAGGAAGGCGCUACAGACUUCAUCGAUUUUGCAGCGAGGUUUAGACAAACCAAGGGUAUUUUGAUAAACACUUUCAGGGAGCUGGAACCACAUGCUCUUCGUUCUCUUUCUGAUGGUAAAUUCCCACCGGUGUACCCUGUGGGGCCCCUGUUGAAUAUGAAGAGUGAUGAUGGCCACGUUGGCUCGGACCAGUCCAUUCAGAAGUCUGAUAUCUUGGAGUGGCUUGAUGAUCAGCCUCCUUCCUCGGUGGUGUUCCUGUGCUUUGGGAGCAUGGGAAGCUUUAGUGAGGCGCAGGUGAAGGAGAUAGCGUGUGCGCUGGAGCAAAGCGGGCAGCGGUUCUUGUGGUCCCUACGGAAACCCGAGCCAAAAGGCAAGAUGGGGAUGCCGACCGAUUAUGCGGAUGUCAAGGGAGUCUUGCCUGAAGGGUUUCUUGAUCGGACGGCUGGGAUAGGGAAGGUCAUAGGAUGGGCUCCACAAGUGGCCAUUUUGGCCCACCCGGGGGUCGGAGGGUUUGUGUCCCAUUGUGGGUGGAAUUCUACGCUGGAGAGCAUAUGGUGUGGUGUGCCGGUUGCCACGUGGCCAUUGUACGCAGAACAACAACUAAAUGCGUUUGAGCUGGUUAAGGAGUUGGGAUUGGGUGUGGAAAUUAAGGUAGAUUAUAAUCAGGACAGUGAAGUGGUGGUGAGUGCAGAGGAGAUAGAGAGAGGGAUAAGGCAAGUGAUGGAGAAGGACAGUGAUUUAAGAGCGAGGGUGAAGGAAAUUAGUGAAAAGAGCAAGAAGGCUUUGUCGGAUGGUGGUUCUUCAUAUUCUUCCUUGGGACGUUUUCUUGACCAGAUUUAAGUUUAGAUUCGUUAAAGCUCAAGAUGAUGCAUAGAAACCACAGUUGUUAAUUUUCAUAGGAGAUUUGAUGAGCAAAUAUUUUCUCCGUUUGUUUUACGUAUCGUAGUUCCUAAUAAUGAAGUGUUUUCUGUUAUGUGAUUGGCCCCUUUUUAAAAUCUGAGGAUAUUGUCAACAUGAUAAUGAUGAUGAUGAUGAUGAUGAUGACGAUGAUGAAGUAUUUGUUGGUUAGAUUGCCCCGAAAGCCAUUACGAUGAAAACGAUGGAUUUGCCGAUUUCUUAAUUGUCUUUUUCAUCAAUUCAAUGCAUGUUCAACUUUCCACUAUAAAACAAAGGAAAAUGCUAGGCAGACCAACUUUAGAUACCAACUUGUGUACCAACUCUCUAAUAGAGUCUGUGACCCAUUGUAUUGGUGGGUUCCACCUCUAUUAGAGAGUUGGUACACAAGUUGGUAUCUAAAGUUGGUCUCCCUAGCAUAACCCUAAAACAAAAUAUCAAAGUUUGACCUCUCUUUUUGACAAGUCUAAACUCCGAAAUUCAUCACAUAUUUUCCAAACGUAAAUAAUUAUAAUAUCAAUUUUUUCAACUCACAAGAUUUGUAUAAAAUAAAUCGUUAGACUUUAUACAACCCAUCACAAAAAUGCCAGCAAAGGCAUGACAUCAUAUCAAUUGAUCAACCAGAUAUAUAUAUAUAUAUAUAUAUAUAUAAGCAAGUUUAUCAGCUGAGCUUUUCAUUGCCAUCAUCUUUCUUCAUCUCCACAAAUGAAGAGACCAGCAGAACUUGUGUUCAUCCCAGCCGCAGGCAUUGGCCAUGUUAUGUCCACAAUUGAGAUAGCAAAGCUCUUAGUUUCUCGUGAUGACCGUCUCUUCAUCACACUUCUCAUCAUGAAACGACCCUUUGACAAACUCUUCACAAACACAGACUCUUCAAUCUCACCAUGCAUCAACUUCGUCAACCUCCCCGACCCCGAAACAACAGAUCUCUCUUGCUUCAAAUUCUUCGUCGAAAAUCAGAAGACCCAAGUCAGAGAUGCCGUCGCUAAACUCGUUGAGUCAAAUCAGUCUGGCUCCUCAAAGCCCCGGCUCGCCGGGUUCGUGGUUGACAUGUUCUGCACCACCAUGAUUGACGUGGCCAAUGAGUUUGAGGUACCUUCUUACGUGUUCUUCACCUCCAGUGCUGCAUGUCUCGGCCUUUUGUUCCACCUCCAGACGCUUCGGGACGAGCAUGGCAAGGAUGUGACUGAGUUUAUGCACUCGGAUUCUGACUUGGUCGUCCCGAGUUUUGUCAAUCCUCUGCCUGCUAGCGUCUUGCCUGGUAAGCUACUGGACAAGGAGAGUGCUGAAUCAUUCCUCAACUAUGCCAGGAGGUUUAGAGAAACCAAGGGUAUUUUGGUAAAUACAUUCUGGGAGCUGGAAUCGCAUGCCCUUCAUUCUAUUUCUUAUGGUAAAAACCCACCAGUGUACCCUGUGGGACCCUUAUUGAACAUCAAGAGUAGUGAGGAUGAUAAGGUUUGGGAUAUCUUGAGUUGGCUUCAUGAUCAACCACCGUUGUCCGUAGUUUUCCUCUGCUUUGGGAGCAUGGGAAGCUUCGGUGAGGCCCAAGUGAAGGAGAUAGCAUAUGCGCUAGAGCACACCGGGCCCCGGUUCUUGUGGUCCCUACGCCAGCCCCCACCGAAAGGGAAGAUGGCUAUGCCAAGCGAUUAUGCGGACACUAGUGCAGUCUUACCCGAAGGGUUUCUUGAUCGAACGGCUAAAAUUGGGAAGGUCAUAGGGUGGGCCCCACAAGUGGACAUUUUGGCCCACUCGUCAAUCGGAGGGUUCGUAUCCCAUUGUGGAUGGAAUUCCACGCUGGAGAGCUUGUGGUACGGUGUUCCGGUGGCCACGUGGCCAAUGUAUGCGGAGCAACAAACAAAUGCCUUUGAGCUGGUAAAAGAAUUGGGAUUGGCUGUGGAGAUCAAGAUGGAUUAUAGGAAGGACAGUGAGGUGGUUGUGGGUGCACAAGACAUAGAGAGAGCAAUAAGACAAGUGAUGGAGCAUGAUAGUGUUAUAAGGAAGAGGGUGAAGGAAAUGAGUGAAAAGAGCAAAAAAUCCCUGAUGAAUGGUGGAUCCUCAUACUCUUCAUUGGGUCGUUUUAUUGAUCAGAUUUAACAUUUGAUUCAUCAAAACUUAAAAUCAUUUGUAGUGGUACGAUAUAACACGUGAAUUAGGAACACUAAUGGCUAUAUAAUAAAUUUGCAUAUGUAAACUUACAGUCUUUUUUAUAAUAACAAGGGGGAAAUGAAAUUCCAACAAAGGCUUUAAUAUCUCUAAGGUUAUGAAAUUAAGAAGGGGUGAGGUCCAAUAAAUAUGAAAGAUGAACAAAGCCGCCCGAGCACUUGGCCAAGAAAGCAAAAUAAACUGUAAUCUCAGUUACUGAUGAGGGUUGGGGUUCGAGUAUAGGUCACCAACCAUAUACACAAGUACCGAAAUCUAAAACUAGUACAAACCCACAUAUAUCGUAACAAAUCUAUGUCACAAAUAAACUAUUUCAUUAAUCAUCAACAUCCACUCCCUUACAACUAUUACAUUAGCCUUAUUUAUAGCCUUAUUUAUAGUCAUUAAUCAUCAACAUCCACUCUCUUAAACACCAUUUGUCCCUCUAACUUAGGCAUUAGAGUGGAAUUGGCUGGUACUACACCAGUGCUUCUUGAUCAUUUGCUUUCAAAGUUGUGCAGAACACCUGGGCCCAAGAAGAAAGCCCAUCCAUACAAAUUCAACUUGGACUCACAUUCGAUCUUGGCCCAAUCAAGGUCCUAGUGGACCACCGGAUUCAACACAAGUCAACAACAAUGAUAUAAGAAAGAGGAUGGAAAAAAUGAGUAGUGACAAUAGCCAGAAAGCCUUGGGGGAUGGUUCCUCCUUGGGGUUUAUCGAUCAUAUUUAACUAAUUCUGAUUUAGCAAAGCUCAAGAUCAUUUAAAUGUUUGGCUUUUUUAAACAAGUUUUAUAAAACUUAGUAAAAUCAAGGAACAAAAUAUUGAUAAUAUUGACGAAAUAUCGUCGAUAUUAUCGUCUUUUUGGGUCUAGAAUAUUUUGGAACAUAUUCAUACACAUAUCGUAUAAUUAUAAACAAUAUCGACGAUAAUAUCAAGAAAUAUUGACGUCAAUAAUUUCUCACCUGCUUCAACAAUAUUUUGUCAAAAUAUCGCGAUAGCAUGCAAUGGACAAAAAGGAAAAAAAGAACAAAAACAAAAACAAACAAAAAAAACCCCACAGCACACACGCAAAUGGGGGAAUUGAACCCCUUCCAUUCUACUCCUCCAGCGCCUUAAUCACCAUGUUGCUUCAACGUUAACCAAUCUGAGAUCCAUAUGGGUGGGUUUUAUUCUAUUUUUACUGAUAUUGAUAGUUUCCCAAUAUUUCCAUUGAAAUUUCAGUGUUUUUGAACCACCGAUAUUUCCGAAACCAUCCAUAUUUUAGACUUUGAUUAUAACCAACUAGAUAUUGAGCAGGAGUAUACUUCUUUUUAUAGUAAACAUGAGGUAUAUGAAGAACACAGCUUCGGCCGAGUUGGAAACAUAUUGUAUUCUCAAUUAUAUAUAGAUAAAUUAACAUGAAAUAUGAGCCAUUCAAGAUAUAAUUUUGAUUUCGUCAUUUUUGUGAGGACGAUUAUAUGUGCCUCUUGUAGAACGAUGUUAAAAUAGGUGAAGCCACUCAACUUAUCAUGAACAUAAACUUCUUACCAUGUAACUAGGAGCUUCUACAUUUAUAUCAAUAGCAGUGUGAUAUGUAUGUAUAAGUGGGUUUUUUUUUUUUUUUUGAUAAAUUAGUUUUACAGAUGUGACAAAUUAUAAUUUACAUAAAGGAGAAGUAUUUCCUUAUAUGAAAAGAAGCCAGCAGUAUCCUUAAUUAACAAAUAAAAUAAAAUGACUUGUCUUCUUAAUUGUUAUGACUGAAAAAACUAACAAAUUAUAUGCAUAUAUCAUUGACUUGACAUAUUCAAUGCAUUCUACUACGACUAGUUGGACCAAAAUCAAUUUUUGAUUACCUUUUGUUGUCCUUUUUGUUUUGGAUUUCCGAGUCUAUUACCUAGUGGACUUAAUAAUGGACAACAUCCAAUAUUUUCCGGAUCACAAGAAUUAUAUAACUGAAAAUCUUGACUUCAUAGACAAUCCCACGUACAAGCCCCAGCCAUUGGCCUGGAUAAUUAAAUUCCAAAAAUAAACAAUAACAAUGUGCAAGAAAUACCACUGCCAGCCAUGCACAUGACAUGUGAUGUGUAAAAUUAUGUACAUAUAUACUAAGUUUUAUCGGCUGAGGUUUUCAUUGCAUUCAACACAAAAUGAGGAGACUUGUCUUGAUAAUGGACAAUAUUCAAUAUUUUUCGGAUCACAAGAUUUAUAUAACUCAAAAUCUUUACUUCAUAGACAAUCCCACGUACAAGCCUAGCCAUUGGCCUAGAUAAUUAAAACAAAAACGCUCUUGUUGCUGCUGCACUCACCUUCAAAACUUAAUUCAAGUGAACCAAGUUCCUAUAUUCAUCAUGUAAUUAAGCUUCUCUCAAUUUCUUAAUGCUUUUAUUUUUGGAGUUUAUGAAGUAUCAAUUAGGAGGAUUUGCAAUUGACACUAUCGAAUUAUCAAUUAGGAUUUGCAAUUAGGGCAUCUGUUUCAAUUUAUGAGUUAUGAAUUAUCAAAUAGGAUUUGUAAUUGAUUUUAUUGUUCUUGCUGUAAUUUUUUUAUUUUUUUGUUAUCAAUGAAAUCACAUGGUAUUGUUGAGUUUUCAAUCUACUUAAUACCUAAAUUUAGCUCAAUCCAUUUUAAAACAUGGGUUCGUCCCUGAGUCCACGACGACUUGUCGAACCAAAACCAAUUACGAUGACUUUUGUUUUGGUUUGGUUUCCAAGUAAUUAAGUUUAUCAAAUUUUCAAAGUCACAAGAUUAAUGUAAAAGACAAUCUUAACUAAACAAAUGCCAGUAAAGGCAUGACGUCACCUAGCAAAAAUGACAAAGGGAGUAGUCAAAGCAAUGUUAGAAACACCACCGUGAACAUGCACAUGACAUGCUAUAUAUAAAGAUGUUUCAUGAGUUGAGUUUUUCAUCAAAUAUUUAUUAUUUCUUCAUCUCCCAAAAUUAAUCAAAUAAUGAAGAGACCAGCACAACUUGUGUUCAUCCCAGCCCCAGGCGUUGGCCACAUCGUGUCAACGAUCGAGAUCGCAAAGCAACUCGUUGCUCGAGAUGACCAGCUCUUCAUCACCAUCCUCAUUAUGAAGCUCCCCUUCGACAAGCUCUUCACCAAUACAGACCCUUCGAUCUCACACCGCAUCAGCUUCGUCAACCUCCCGGAGUCCCACAUCGACACACAGGGCCUUGCCUUCACCUCCUUCAUCAAAACAUUCGUCCAAGGCCACAAAACCCACGUCAAAGAAGCCGUCACAAAGUUACUCGCUGAGUCCGCUCAGGCCGAGCUUGCUGGGUUUGUCAUCGACAUGUUCU
rnacentral:lncRNA from 1 species